UACGUAGGGUGCGAGCGUUGUCCGGAAUUAUUGGGCGUAAAGAGCUCGUAGGCGGCUUGUUGCGUCUGCCGUGAAAGUCCGGGGCUCAACUCCGGAUCUGCGGUGGGUACGGGCAGACUAGAGUGAUGUAGGGGAGACUGGAAUUCCUGGUGUAGCGGUGGAAUGCGCAGAUAUCAGGAGGAACACCAGUGGCGAAGGCGGGUCUCUGGGAAGUAACUGACGCUGAGGAGCGAAAGCGUGGGGAGCGAACAGG
rnacentral:rRNA from 1 species